rnacentral:rRNA from 1 species
CGUAGGGUGCGAGCGUUAAUCGGAAUUACUGGGCGUAAAGCGUGCGCAGGCGGUUUGUUAAGAUAGGCGUGAAAUCCCCGGGCUCAACCUGGGAACUGCGCUUAUGACUGGCAAGCUAGAGUACGGCAGAGGGGGGUGGAAUUCCACGUGUAGCAGUGAAAUGCGUAGAGAUGUGGAGGAGCACCAAUGGCGAAGGCAGCCCCCUGGGUCGAUACUGACGCUCAUGCACGAAAGCGUGGGUAGCAAACAGGAUUAGAUACCCUGGUAGUCCACGCCCUAAACGAUGUCAACUAGGUGUUGGAUGGGUAAAACCAUUUAGUACCGGAGCUAACGCGUGAAGUUGACCGCCUGGGGAGUACGGCCGCAAGGUUA